UUUAAUACCGAUCCUGAAUUACUGCGCUGACCCUUCGUUUUAUACGAUUUCUCGCACGAUUUAUACGCGGACGACGCGCCACGACGUCCCUCUGCUUCGAGCGCGCGUCAUUUAUCUCGGUCAUCGACGACGAACACGAUCGCGAUUUCGCAGUUCGCGAAUCACGCGACGUUUGCCCGGGGAGUAAAAGCCGCCCGACUUGCGGCAGGACCAAAGUAUUCCCAGGCGAUUGCACAGAGAGAUGCAUUCUGUUCUUUUCCUUGCGAUUGGAAGUUACUCUUUUCGAACAUCGGGUCGACCCGAUUGGUCCAAAUUCGAACUGUUUACGCGGGCAAGGUGUAAACUGACGGUAAUCUCCAAAAUGAAGAGCAAAUACGAGUUAUCCGCAAACGAGAGGAAUGUACACUAUGAGGCCUGACGUUGUAUUUAAAAGUUUACGUAAUUUUCGUCAAUUUUCUACAGUAGGAAUUUCGUCUUCAAUUCCAGAUCUCAAGACCAAAUUUGAAUUGUUUACGGAGAGAAGAUGCGAAUCGACGGAAACCUCAAAAGUGAAGCGCAAAUACGAAUUAUCCACAAACGAGAGGAAUGUACACUGUGAGGCCUGACGUUGUAUUUAAAAGUUUACGUAAUUUUCGUCAAUUUUCUACAGUAGGAAUUUCGUCUUCAAUUCCAGAAGGGACGGCCGGUCGAAGGAUUUGCCGCAGACUUCGCAGGGCAAUAAAACCCUCUCUCCUCUCUUAA